GUUUAAAUAAACUUUUAUUGUAUCUAAACUGUCUCUGAAACAAAACUGUUAAGCUAAUACAAUCGUAACCUUCCAAAUUUGCAAUUUUAGUGCUGGAGGAGUUAGUAUUAUUUUAUUAAAAGAGUAGCUUUAGGAAGGGUCAUUAUAUCAACAUCUCUUUUGUGGAACCUCUUGAAAUUUCUAAAGUCUCCAGCUUUUCUAGUAUC
rnacentral:lncRNA from 1 species